UGUCAUCGAAGGAAUGCCUUAAUUCAUGACG
rnacentral:ncRNA from 1 species